GCUGGCAGUGGCAGGCAACAUGUGUUCCAGUUCCACUCCGGUUGAAGUUUUCUCAACUUUGUUUGCAGGAUGGCCAAAUUUCGAAAAGAUAAGAGCACCACAUCUCCCAUGUUCUUCAAGCACUGUGGUUUCUCCUUAGACCAGGACAAUCUUCCCUGAGUGACACCAGGAGCUUCACCAUAGGAGACCCCAAAAGGGAGUUGUGCCUUAAAGUCACGCCUUGUAAGAUAUCAUCACAAAGCUGACCUUGUUGGGGGAAGGCUCUGGGUGACGCUGAGG